rnacentral:rRNA from 1 species
AGAGCGGCGAAAGGGUGAGUAACGUAUAGGUAACCUACCCUCGACCCUGGUACAGCGCCUGGAAACGGGCGGGUAAUCCCGGAUAGUCCCGUAGGCAGGAAUCUGCUCUCGGGUAAAAGUGGGGAUCUUCGGACCUACUGGUCGUGGAGGGGCCUAUGCCCCAUCAGCUUGUUGGUAAGGUAACGGCUUACCAAGGCAUUGACGGGUAGCCGGACUGAGAGGUUGGCCGGUCACACUGGGACUGAGACACUGCCCAG